UUUAUUUUAUUUAACAGAUCCACGUUUCUAUUUGUAACAUUCGUAACGGAGAGAAGAUUAUUCCGUAUUGCACGAAUGACGGAUAUCUCCUGACUAGAAGCGAUAUUUUCACACUGGGAUUAUCGAAAGACAUCAAUGGGCUGGUGAGUCUAAAUAUAUUUAGACUCACCAGUCUAAAUAUAUUUAGACUGGAGUUCAAAGGUUCUGAACUCCUGUCUGAAAGCCGUUGAGAGAAUAUGCAGCGACAAGGGCAUCAAGGUUUUUGCAGGAAACAGUCAUGUAGUACAAACCUGGUUUCCACCUCUAUCCCUUGACCCAGCACUACAUCUCCCACCGCAAGCACAAGAUCUGGACUGGGUUCUGAUACCUGUGUGGCGUCCUGGACAUUGGACACUUUGCGUUAGUACAGUACUUAUUUGAUAUUUACCUUCAUAUUUCCUGCAUUUCAAAGACACUUGUUUAGUUCCUUUAUUACUCUGCAGUAGUGUUCACCAUCACUGUACUGUGCCAUAUUUUUUUCAGAUUUUGAAGCCUAAGCACAGGGAGAUUUUCUUUCUUGAUUCUAUCAGUGGCAGUGGGUUCUUGGAUGAAAACCAAAUCAAAAGAUUAAAGUUUUAUAGGAWUAAGUUUGAAAGAGGCAUUUAGAACAAUGGAACCUUUGUUCCAUUGUUCCACGGAGUCAAAGGUUCAGCAUUAAUCUUCAUAUUUAUGUAACAAUAAAUAUCCAAAUUGAAUUUGUGAAUACAUUUUAAUGCCCGGAAUCACGAAAAACACACAUUUUGUAGGCAGUCUACUUUAAACAUGAAAUGGGUUAAAGCUGAACCAUUGAGAGACUGUUAUGUCUCGCAUCUUUCUUGCAUCAUACAUGUGUAUAAGUUUUUAUUUUGAUACGUUGUGUUGUGAAACAUGCCCUUGUUAAUUUUUUCUUUAAAAACUUUGUAUCAUCAGGGAAGUCUGUUAUCAGAUGUCAUCUGGACCAUGGACAGAAUUUGUUGGCAAUGACAUUAAGGGAUUGCCUAAACAAGGACUGUCCAACAACUGUGGAAUGUUUGUAGUGAUGGUAACAUCCACUUCCUCCCACCAUUUUGUUGUAUUGUUUGUAUAGACAUAAUCACAUUUUUCUCCACAGUAUGCUCUCUACUUUGGGAUGGAAGCACCAUUUGAUUUCACGGAGGUAAGGAAACAGAUAAGACUGCA